AUCGAAUGGUUGAUCAAUGAUUAAGAAUCGUUCUAGGAUUAAACGAUCAAUACGAUUGACAUUUAACCUAGUGCAAGUAUUGUAGGAGGAUCGAUUAGCAAUUCAAUUACUAAUUGACUUAAUUUGAUUAAGCCAAUUAAUUGAGAUUAAGUCUAAUUGAAUAUAAUUUAAUUAGAUUUAGUUUGGGCUUGAUUGGAUCAAGUUCAAUUGAUUUAUUGGAUAAGUCAAGUGCAAGGAAAAACUAGUCCUAGUUCAAUCAGGACUUGGGUCAACCUAAUUUCUAAUUUGAUUAAAAAAUUAAAAUAGAUUUAAAUAUAAUUU
rnacentral:lncRNA from 1 species